rnacentral:SRP_RNA from 1 species
CCGUGCAGCUGGGGAGUUAGCGGUGCCCUGUACCUGCAAUCCGCUACAGCAGGAGUGAUGGUUGGUCUCGGGUUGUUUCUUGUAGGGCUGCCCUUAGUAAGUGGCGUUGAUGUUUGGGUCUUGCGCGACAGGAACCUAUGAACCGUGUCAGGUCGGGAACGAAGCAGCACUAAGUAGGAGCUCUUGUGCGCCGCGAGGGUGCCUGGGCUGAGUUAACUGCUAAGGUAACGUCUAUGAGAACUUCACAAAGCCAACCGCACGG